rnacentral:tRNA from 1 species
GGAAGGUAGCCGGAUAUGGUUUGCCGGGCCUGUUUGCUAAACAGUGCAACGUAAAAGUUGUGAGGGUUCAACUCCCUUGCCUUCCGC